GGGUGCGUAACGCGUAUGCAACUUGCCCUACUGAAAAGGAUAGCCCUUCGAAAGGAGGAUUAAUACUUUAUAACAGAUUUAAUGGCAUCAUUAGAUUUUGAAAGAUUUAUCGCAGUAGGAUAGGCAUGCGUAAGAUUAGCUAGUUGGUAAGGUAACGGCUUACCAAGGCAACGAUGCAUAGCCGAGUUGAGAGACUGAUCGGCCACAUUGGGACUGAGACACGGCCCAAACUCCUACGGGAGGCAGCAGUAGGGAAUCUUCCACAAUGGACGCAAGUCUGAUGGAGCAACGCCGCGUGAGUGAAGAAGGUUUUCGGAUCGUAAAGCUCUGUUGUUGGUGAAGAAGGAUAGAGGUAGUAACUGGCCUUUAUUUGACGGUAAUCAACCAGAAAGUCACGGCUAACUACGUGCCAGCAGCCGCGGUAAUACGUAGGUGGCAAGCGUUGUCCGGAUUUAUUGGGCGUAAAGCGAGCGCAGGCGGAAAAAUAAGUCUGAUGUGAAAGCCCUCGGCUUAACCGAGGAACUGCAUCGGAAACUGUUUUUCUUGAGUGCAGAAGAGGAGAGUGGAACUCCAUGUGUAGCGGUGGAAUGCGUAGAUAUAUGGAAGAACACCAGUGGCGAAGGCGGCUCUCUGGUCUGCAACUGACGCUGAGGCUCGAAAGCAUGGGUAGCGAACAGGAUUAGAUACCCUGGUAGUCCAUGCCGUAAACGAUGAGUGCUAAGUGUUGGGGAGGUUUCCGCCUCUCAGUGCUGCAGCUAACGCAUUAAGCACUCCGCCUGGGGAGUACGACCGCAAGGUUGAAACUCAAAGGAAUUGACGGGGGCCCGCACAAGCGGUGGAGCAUGUGGUUUCAUUCGAAGCAACGCGAAGAACCUUACCAGGUCUUGACAUCUAGUGCAAUCUGUAGAGAUACGGAGUUCCCUUCGGGGACGCUAAGACAGGUGGUGCAUGGCUGUCGUCAGCUCGUGUCGUGAGAUGUUGGGUUAAGUCCCGCAACGAGCGCAACCCUUGUUAUUAGUUGCCAGCAUUAAGUUGGGCACUCUAAUGAGACUGCCGGUGACAAACCGGAGGAAGGUGGGGAUGACGUCAAGUCAUCAUGCCCCUUAUGACCUGGGCUACACACGUGCUACAAUGGGCAGUACAACGAGAAGCAAGCCUGCGAAGGCAAGCGAAUCUCUUAAAGCUGUUCUCAGUUCGGACUGCAGUCUGCAACUCGACUGCACGAAGCUGGAAUCGCUAGUAAUCGC
rnacentral:rRNA from 1 species